rnacentral:piRNA from 1 species
UGAUUUUUGUGAUUCUGAUUUCAUGAGGUC